rnacentral:rRNA from 1 species
AUUGAACGCUGGCGGCAUGCCUUACACAUGCAAGUCGAACGGCAGCACGGGUGCUUGCACCUGGUGGCGAGUGGCGAACGGGUGAGUAAUACAUCGGAACGUACCUUAUCGUGGGGGAUAACGCAGCGAAAGCUGUGCUAAUACCGCAUACGCCCUGAGGGGGAAAGCGGGGGAUCGAAAGACCUCGCGCGAUUAGAGCGGCCGAUGCCUGAUUAGCUUGUGGUGGGGUAAAAGCCCACCAAGGCGACGAUCAGUAGCUGGUCUGAGAGGACGAUCAGCCACACUGGGAGUGAGACACGGCCCAGACUCCUACGGGAGGCAGCAGUGGGGAAUUUUGGACAAUGGGGGCAACCCUGAUCCAGCAAUGCCGCGUGAGUGAAGAAGGCCUUCGGGUUGUAAAGCUCUUUUGUCAGGGAAGAAACACCGGCUCUAACACAGUCCGGGAAUGACGGUACCUGAAGAAUAAGCACCGGCUAACUACGUGCCAGCAGCCGCCGUAA